rnacentral:tRNA from 1 species
GGGAGUAUAGCUCAGCUGGUUUAGAGCGCAUGCAUCACACGCAUGAGGUCGCAGGUUCGAAUCCUGCUAUUCCCA